GACAGAGGGUGCAAACGUUGUUCGGAAUUACUGGGCGUAAAGCGCGUGUAGGCGGCUAAGUAAGUCGGGCGUGAAAUCCCACGGCUCAACCGUGGAAGUGCACUCGAAACUGCAUAGCUAGAGUCCUGGAGAGGAAGGUGGAAUGCUUGGUGUAGAGGUGAAAUUCGUAGAUAUCAAGCGGAACACCGGUGGCGAAGGCGGCCUCUGGACAGUGACUGACGCUGAGACGCGAAAGCGUGGGGAGCAAACAGGG
rnacentral:rRNA from 1 species